rnacentral:lncRNA from 1 species
UCUCUCUUCCACGGGCGUUUGGGUUUUCCUGGGCUUCAGCCUAACGAAAAAUCACGCCGCACCAUCACACGCAAGACCACCAGCCAAACUACCCAGUUCUCUAUUCCCAGAUCAGCCUUAAAAAGGCUUAAAACCCAUGUUAGAUCAUGUUUAGGAGUCCUAAGAUCAACCAAAUAAGGUCCUGCACCGUUGGAUUGAAACCAGAAUUAUCUCAGG